rnacentral:rRNA from 1 species
GACAGAGGGUGCAAACGUUGCUCGGAAUCACUGGGCGUAAAGGGCGCGUAGGCGGCCUGCUAAGUCGAACGUGAAAUCCCCGGGCUCAACCCGGGAACUGCGUCCGAUACUGGCAGGCUUGAAUCCGGGAGAGGGAUGUGGAAUUCCAGGUGUAGCGGUGAAAUGCGUAGAUAUCUGGAGGAACACCGGUGGCGAAGGCGGCAUCCUGGACCGGUAUUGACGCUGAUGCGCGAAAGCCAGGGGAGCAAAGCGGG